AAGCGCUUGUGACCAGACUUGCGCCGGGCGGAUCAUCCGGUGUUCUCACCGGUGCACUCCGCCCGGCUCAGGCCAGCAUCGGUUCUCGUGGGGGGAUAAAGGCCCUGGGAACGUAGCUCCUCCGGGAGUGUUAUAGCCCAGGGUGUAAUGCCCUCGCGGGGACCGAGGUUCGCGCAUCUGCAAGGAUGCUGGCGUAAUGGUCAUCAGCGA
rnacentral:rRNA from 1 species